rnacentral:rRNA from 1 species
UACGAGAGGCCCAAACGUUAUUCGGAAUUACUGGGCUUAAAGAGUUCGUAGGCGGCGCAGAAAGUAGGGUGUGAAAUCCCUCGGCUCAACCGAGGAAUUGCGCUCUAAACUUCUGUGCUCGAGGAAGCUAGAGGUGAGCAGAACAGAUGGUGGAGCGGUGAAAUGCGUUGAUAUCGGGAGGAACACCAGUGGCGAAGGCGGCUGCCUGGGCCAGUUCUGACGCUGAGGCGCGAAAGCGUGGGGAGCAAACAGG